GAGUGGUAACUAUGUAAAUCUUCCAUCCUUGAAAUCGUUCAACUGGAGGUUAGACGUGUAGAUGAAAGUGGGACGGAUGCCCUAGAUUGAGUUCUUAUGCAGCGCCGCUACGUCUGUCUUUCGGAGAACACUCGCCCCAUACUCUCCGGCGGCUAGCUAGCGUCAACCGAUCUUCCGAGGCACGACGCGUUCGAUCUCGAUCUUCUCCUCAUGGAAUCGCCUUUACUCUUCUCCAUCUUGAAGUGUAUCCUUAAUGAACCCCAAGGAAGGCUGUACUAAUUUAGGGGCUGUCUGCAACAAAUUAAACACAUGAUUUUGCAGGAUUUAAGCGGAAUCCACCCAGUAGGUCAUUUUUGACAAAAUAAAUCUCCGGAUGCCGUAAAUCCUGAUUCCACGGAUAUUGGCUAAAAUUCAAAUCUACAAGGUGAUUCCUUGGCUCAGGGAACUACAAAUUUACUGGCAUAAAGAUUGAGUCUAUAACUAAAGCGUGUAUACUGCGUACAAUACUGAGAACACCAACUACGGAUCCGUAUGACUUUCUGGGACUGAGGGAGGAUUGCUAUAUUUACCUGCAUCACCGGCCAAGUAAUAAGAGCGAUUUAAACUACUAACAAGAGGGGUGGAUUCCCAACAUUAACCAGCCGCUUAGAUACUAAACCGUACUAGCCAAUUGCAACCCUACUUGCCAAAGACUUGCGAAUACUAAACCUCUGAACUGGGACCGAUGAAGAAGUCUCGAUGUUCGAGGCUGAAUUUCCAAAGUUGGAAAUUGACUUUGUUCGAUGGCGCACCCAGUAUAGAACAAAUGGAAGGUCAAAUCCUCCAUUUAGGCGCAGGAGUUGUUUCGUCACAUUAAGAAAUGCAUUCUACUUUUCUCAUUUGUGUUAAUGAAAGGCUAAAAGGGAAUAAAGCUGAGUACAAAAUACUCAUUGACUGUCUCAUGGUAGCCGUGCAAAUUUGUAUAAGGGUUCUCAUGAUCUACAGAGAUUCACAGAUUGAGUUUAUUUUCAAUCUAUUUGGAAUUCACUGAUUUUGGUUGGACUUCCCACAGAUAAAUUUUUGCCGGCCACUCCCGGUGGCCUCACCCUUGCAGAGAAAGACUUUAUUGCAAGAAUUUUAUUAGCGUGCAACUAUAGCUGCUUGUAAGGUGGGAAAUAUAACAAGAAAGAAGUUUCUUGAAGACCAAUGAAGUGAAGCUACAAGUUAAUAUCCUUGGUGAGUAUUGACAUGAUUCUUCUCCCAUUUCAAAUGCAUACUUUUUCAUUCAUCAGGGAUGAUGUUAAGAUUAUUAUUUUUAAAAGAUUGAUUUUUUGAUGGAGAAAGUGUCCAAAAUUAAAAAAAAUUUAGA